ACUGACUCUGAUAGCCUGUCUUUGAUUCC
rnacentral:piRNA from 1 species